CUAGCCUGCGUUAGUGUGAGGCCUCCAAGUUGUGCUAUGCUUUUGUUGUAAAUAUUUCUUGACUUGCCUCUCCCUUCACCGUCCCCCCUCCUGAUCACUAAUGCGCAUGUUAAACACAGCAAAGUGGCAGGCAGAGUUAACAGCUCUGCCCAUCUGGGGUAAAUCCUGAUCAAUUUUGUUUUAAGAAGAAACUCUGGUGAAAUAAAAGAAUAGUGACUGCCGCUGCUCCUCUCUCCUUUAAUUGGCACCAGAGUGGAGAGGGAGACAGGACUGGCAAGGACGCUGCCAGUUUUUGCACCUUUUUGGGGGGGACUUUUAGUGGAUUUUAUUUUUGUGGCUGAGGCCACUGGACUUUUUAGCUGUAUUGUUUUUAUGCUUUUAACUUUAUGUUCUCCCUGGCCAGGCGUCUUUUAACUGUUUUUGUCUUUUUCUGAAAUAAUUUACAUUUUACAAAUCUUUUAUAUUUUUCUAUUGCCUUGGCUCCCCAACUGCUCUGUCCACUUUUGAAGGGUUUCCCUUCUUAGAAUAACACCUGUUGUCCACACGCUCACUCAGGGACCAAAGAGCAAACGGCUGAAUUCAUAAAAAUAAGAGGAGAAAAUGACCACCUCUUCACUGGGGUGAAGAAUUCAGCCACUAGGAUGGAGGACAAUUCUGAAGAAGAUGGGCCUGCAGGGGAAAGUCACCGCCUCGCAGGCCAAAAAGAAAUGGAACAACUUAAAAAAAAAAGAAAAAAAAAAAGAUACAAAGAUUGCAAGUAUCCAGGGUCAGGAGAGGGAAUUAGUGGGAAGCCCACUGCUGCUACUUGGCCCUGGUUUGCCCUAAUGGAUGAGGUAAUAGGACAGAGUGCCUUCCAUUAGUUCUCCUGUCCUAAUUUCCUCCAUCCCUGAGGACGCUCCAGGGCCAAGUGCAGUAGUGGGUGACCAAAGCAAAAGGGAAGAGGAGACUGAUGAGGAAGAGUGUCAGCCACCCACAACAGGGAGGAAGAGAAGAGCUCAUCAGAGAGGACAUGAGAUAUCAAAGGGAGGUGGAGGAGAGGAUGUAGAGAUUUUUUUUUCUAUUCUCUAAAUGAGUUAAGAAAUUUAUUUAUUUGAAUAUAUUUGUUACGUUGUUCUAUUUGUUGUGUUAUUUUAAAAGUUUUUUUAUUAUGAAUAAAUUGAUUUAAAAAAAUGUCACUGAACUCAUUUUAUUUACAAUUGUUUUUAACAUGUAUGAACAUAAAGCCAACUUUAAACAGUUUUAAAUUGAUAUUUAUUAAAAGUAAAUAACAAUAAAAGAAUAUUUCUAAAACAUGAACAUUAGUUAAAGAAGGAAAAAAAUAAAUACAAAUUGUCAUGGCUCUGGGUCCGUUGGACCCAGUAUGUUGAGUUUAUUAUAUUAUGAUUUGUUCUCGUAUUCUCUUGUUGUGCUAUUAGUGAUUAUGAUGAUGAUGAUGAUGAUGAUUAUUACUUCUGGUUUAGGUUUUGUUUUCUCGCCCUCAUGUUUAGUUCAGGUUCCAUGUGUUUUAUUCUGUCUCUCUUUCAGUGUCCUGUCUGCAUCCUCGUGUAGUGUUCUCUUGUUUCCUGUUUUAUGGUGAAGGUCUGCGUCUCUUGUGAAUGUGUUCAGUUUUACCUGUUGUCUCGUCUUGUUAAUUACUCCCAGCUGUGUUCACCACCUGUAUGUAAUCUCCCUGUGUUUCUCUGUGUGUAUUUAAGUCGGGUCUUCUGUCUUUGUAGUUGCUGGUUCGUCUGCGUUACUUGGUAUGUUAUGGUCUGCGUCUCUCUGUCCGUCAUUCUGUGUAUUUCCCCGUGCCUCCCUGCAUCUCUGUUUCUGUUAGUUUUUCCCAGUUUAGGUUUUCUUAGUUUUACACUCAUCCUCGCCAUCUCUGUUGGAUUUACUUUUGGGUAAUAAACGCACUUGCACCAGAGCUGCCGCAUCUUGGGUCCUAAAUAAUUCACACACGGCUUGCCCCGGCAAUCCGUGACACAAGUAUUACAUUUUUCACACAGGACCUGUUGCUGGACCUUUUUUUUUUUUUUUUUUUUUUUUUUUUUUUUUUUUUUUUGUAAAUAAACUUUGAUAGAUUACACAAAGUCUCUGUCAGUGCUGCUGGAUCUGCUGAAGCAAGAUCAGACAUGGAUGGGGUGCUGCAACUGAGACCUGUGGUUUGUCUUUUCUGGUCGGAGAGUAGAGAAUCAUACAGGGUGGUCUGCAAAGAGCUUUAGGAUGCUUCCUCCUACUGGAUAAACUUACAAUGUUAAAUUUAAAAGCAAUCUAAUUAAUUGGAUGACCUAUAUUAGUUUCUACGAAUAACUUCGUAACUACGAAUAAAGAUUUCAAACUAAUCCACCCAUUUUAGGGUGGAGCUUUUGGUUCGGAUGAGAUGAGAAACAUGCACAACAUUAUUUCAGUCUCCUACCAGUCCAACAAAUCACCAGGCACUUAACCUAACUUUUGUGUUAGAUUUG
ensembl:lncRNA